AUUAAGGAGUGUAGCUAUAAAAAAUAAUCAAAAUCAGAGUUAAAAUAACCGUUAAAUCGUGAUUUUUCGUUUUAUAACCAUCGAAAAGUUUUGUUCGGUUACUUGAUCUCUGAAUGUUUGUUUUUUGCGAUUUUUUGCUGAUACGAUCUCGAAGCAUAUACAAACAAGUUUGACGGUUGAAUCGUUGAAAUUAGUUUUGUAUAAUUCGUAUCUCAUCAAGUUCAAUGGUGUGUGUAUGUGUGUGUGUGUGUGUGUGUGUGUGUGUGUGUGUGUGUGUGUGUGUGUGUGUGUGUGUG
rnacentral:lncRNA from 1 species